rnacentral:rRNA from 1 species
UACGGGGGGAGCAAGCGUUGUUCGGAUUUACUGGGCGUAAAGGGCGCGUAGGCGGUCAGCACAAGUCAGUUGUGAAAUCUCCGGGCUUAACUCGGAAAGGUCAACUGAUACUGUGCGACUAGAGUGCGGAAGGGGCAACUGGAAUUCUUGGUGUAGCGGUGAAAUGCGUAGAUAUUGGGAAGAACACCUGAGGCGAAGGCGGGUUGCUGGGCUGAUACUGACGCUGAGGCGCGAAAGCCAGGGGAGCAAACGGG